CCUACGGGUGGCUGCAGUCGAGGAUCUUCGUCAAUGGGCGCAAGCCUGAACGAGCGAUGCCGCGUGAGCGAUGAAGGCCUUCGGGUUGUAAAGCUCAAAAGGGGUGAGAAAGGGCAACUUGAUCGAACCCCAGUAAGCUCGGGCUAAGUUCGUGCCAGCAGCCGCGGUAAGACGAACCGAGCGAACGUUGUUCGGAAUCACUGGGCUUAAAGGGCGCGUAGGCGGGUGCUCAAGUCCGGGGUGAAAUCCUCCAGCUCAACUGGAGAACUGCCUCGGAUACUGGGUGCCUCGAGGGUGGUAGGGGUAUGCGGAACUAUCGGUGGAGCGGUGAAAUGCGUUGAUAUCGAUAGGAACUCCGGUGGCGAAGGCGGCAUACUGGACCACAUCUGACGCUGAGGCGCGAAAGCCAGGGGAGCAAACGGGAUUAGAUACCCUAGUAG
rnacentral:rRNA from 1 species